CUCCCCACCCCGCGUCUUGCUGAUCUCCGUGCGCUCUGUGCGGGUGUACGUGUGGCUGCUACGCGUGAAGGUGCGCGUCAGGCGCUCCUGGGCAGACACCAUCUGGAACCAGUUCCCUAGGAGACACAGCAGCAGAGGCUCUGUCUGGAACAGGUGGCCGACGCGUAUAACAACGAGUAAUGAAAGCUGGCUCUGCAGGAGGAGGAGUGGGCCAGGUGCUGAACCAGAGGACCAGGGAUGGGGCAGUGUAGAAAAUUCACUGGAGCCUAGGAGGCCUCCUCCCCCAGAGAGGGAAGGCACCAGGAGACAGCCCGGAGCGGCAAGAUGAAGCCUGCACUGGGAUGUAGGAGCCUCGAGUCUGAGUUCCAGCCCUGUCCAGCUUGGCUAUGUGACCCUGGGUAACUCCCUUCCCCUCUGGGCCUGGAAGGUGACCCCUUCCCAGGCAGCGCAGGACAGUACCCGUGAGUUCCCCUUUCUGCACAGUGAAGGGGAUGACCAGGUUGAAGGGCCUCAGCAUGGAUUCCAUUGGCUCUGCAGGCACCACUGGCUCCUCUGUGGCCUGUGUAGGGGAAAGGAACGGUUGGCCAGGGAAGGUGUGGGGAGCCUAGCCUGAGUCACAACUGAAGUCGGAGAAAGUGAGGAAAGAACAAGAUGGUUAAUGGUGAAGCCAGAGUGGCAGGAGAAGUGUGUCAACCGCAAGAGAAGAGGUGCUCAGCUUGGAGGCCCAUCUGCCCAGAUUGACACCCGCUUGCUCCCCAAGAUGGCCCCCCCAAACCAUGCCCCAGCCCUGGCCACAGAGAACUAGAAGGAAGAAGUGAAGGAGCAGGGGGAGGGCGAGGCGUGGCCCAGGUGGGAGGCAGCAGUACCCAGUGUGUGGGGUAGGUGCUGGGCCGGGGCAGCUGCAGCACGUCAGCAGGCUCCUCCACGUGGGGCAUGGGGUCACACGCCUGGGAGGCAAGGCACGGAAAGCAUGGGUUGUGGCAGGCCAGUCCACACCCGCCAAGAGACCAGGAGCUAACUCUGAGAAUGGCCCAGGGACCUGCAAUUGGGCUACCCCUGGGGCGGGAUGGCUAUUUCAUGAGCUUUAUCCUCUGGAGGGCUUCAUCGUCCUGCGGGGCCACCCUGAGGGGAUGUAUAGGGACUGUGGGCCUGAGGGUCAGUGAGGUGAGUUCUGACCGACCACUGGAGGGACCAGAGACAGGGGCUGUGCUCAACUCCCAAGUUGGAGGGCCAUGGGGAACCAAAGGCUUGACUCCAGAACACUCGGCCCACAAUUCAUCAGACAUGGGGAUGGGUUCUGGGAUUUCUUGCUGCUGCUAACCAAAGGCCCGUCUCCUCAGCCACUGCCCCAGGCCUUGGAACUUACCAGUACAUGGAAGGGGCUGUUGGGGAUGUGCUCGCCUCCAAAGCGGAUGGUGAUGACGUACUUGCCGGGCUCAGGUGCUGUGUAGUAGAUGUCAAAGGUACCAUCGUGGUUCUCAACCACGUCCACGUCGAGCUCCGCCCCAUCCGGCGUGGAUACCGUGCAUGUCACCUUCCCCUUGCCUGCUGCCUUGGCAUCUACUGUGAUCACGGUCUCCUCCCCGAUCUGGAUGCGGGGUCCCAGGCAGGCACCUGCCACCCAGAAGAGCCAGGUUGAGGGUCUAUGAGGGCUGUGCCCAGUCCCUCUCCAUUCCCAGCUGCCCCUACCACCUCAGCCCAUGGCAAGAAGAGAAAGGGCACUCACCCAGGCCAUGGCCUCCAAUGGACACUGGAAACAGAGAAGAGUGUGAGGCCACACAGCCAUGGGGAGGAAGAGGGGGUGGGGGAUGGGGGCAGAUGAGGUGGGCUCUCUGACCAGCAGUCCCCUAAGGACUGGGCCAGGGACCUGGAAGAGCUAGGAGGGGGCUAGGAGGGGUGCUCCAUGGUGAGCAGGAGCAGAGUACAAGGCGGGGGGUGGGCACCCACCUGUGACAAGACACUUGCUGGCAUCCCCAGUGGGCAGGGCAUGGAUGCGGAAGGGUGAGUAGGGGAUCUCGUCGCCACCAUACUUGAUGGUGAUGGUGUACCGGCCACUCAUGUCUGGCAGGUAGGACACGGUGUACGUGCCAUCCCCGUUGUCUCGUAUGUUGGCCUUCUUGGGCUUUCCCUCCGGAUCCUAGGAGGGAAGCAGAGGUCAGGGCCUGCCUGUGCCCAAACCCUGACCAGGGAGGUGAGCUACACACAGACUCACCAGGAUCUGGACGGUGAGCAAACCCUCGCCAGCAUCCCGGGCAUCAAUGGUGAACUCCACAGGCAGGCUGGCAGGGAUGCCAGAGGCAUUGAGGCCAGGGCCACUGGCCCGCACCUUGCUGGCAUCGUGGGCAGGAAGCACCUUGAUCUUGAAGGGGCUUGAGGGGCAGAAAGGGUGGACAGUUGGCUGCAGGUCCGGGGGGAGUGCUCCCCACAGACAGAAGCAGGAGGGAGGAUUCUGCAGGGCAGAAAGGAGGGAAGAGCCCACAUCCCGAGUUCUGUGGGAGGAUAACCUGCGGGGUUACCCGCUCAUGAUGGACCCAGAGCAUUUCUGCGUUCCCCGGAAGAUGCUGUGGUCAGUUUAAAGAGGAGGGUGUGGAAAGCUUCCUUCUCCCACCACCUGCUUUUUCCCAAGGCACUAAUUUUGUGGCUAUGUGGCAGGAAAGCCUGACCCAAGGAGAGCCCCUGCGGCUGAGCGCCUCUCUGGGGUUACAGGCAGGGAGCCCCAAGGAAGAGUGGACUGGGGGGCUGAGAUUGAGACAGGUGAGGCCAAGGCAGAUGGGAGGGGCACCCCCAGGACCCUGGCAAUGGCCUGCAGGUACAGCCCCCAUAGCAGGGCCCCAGAACUCAGGCUCAGUGUGUGAGAGCCCAAAAGUAGUUCUCACCUGCGUGGCACCUCCUGGUCAGCAUACUUGACAGCUACCGUGUAGGGCCCAUCCGUGGCUGGGGUGUAGUGGACGGUGUGGGUGCCACCUCCAUUGUCAAGCACCUCCACGGGCUCGGCCACACCUGGACAAGGUAGGCAAGGUCAGCAGAGAGCCUCCUGAUGCUCCAUCCUACCGGCUCUCCUCCCCCCACCCCCACCUGGACAUUCUGUACCUGUGGGGCCCAGCACGGCCACUUGCAGUGGGGCCCGGCCAGCUUGGCUGCAGUCCACUGUGAAGGUCUGGGGUACCCGGGCCCGGACACCGGCCCCCAGACCUGGCCCUGAGCACUUCACCUUCCCAGGGUCCACCACGUCCUUCACCGGCACCCGGAAAGGGCUCCCUGCAAGGAGGAGGACGUCAGCCCCAGCCCACCUGCCUGGGAAUAUCUUGGACACUGAGGAGGCAGCUAGAAGGAGGUCUCUGAAAUGCCUCAGGGAGGCCAGACCAACAUGUGCAAAUGCUUAAGACCUUGCUAAGAAAAUGUAAACAGGAAUAAACAAACUUGGCUGCAGACAGCGACGGGGCAAACCUCAUGCGUAGGGCCACAGGCCUGGAAGAAUUCCUUCCUAAAUUAAAUGC